UUUGCCAUGUCAUCAAAAGCUGCCAGAUGGACUAUUAUCUUUCAUGUUUGAGUUGGUUCUCAACUUGUAGAAGAAUAACAUAAAAUAUUUUGGCAUCUGAGUGUAAAAAAUAAUAUUUGAACUCAUAAGUUCCUUAAUAAUACUUUAUUGUGUUACAUGUACUUUAUUACUUACUCAUAAUAUAUAAUUCAAUCUGAUUAUUGAUUAUAUAUUAUGAGUAAGGAGAGCAUUCUAAACAUUCUGGAAACUUUAAAAGAAGAGGGAAAUAGGGUCUUGUUCAAUGCUUUAGCUGUGUUUGCUCUAAGGGAGAUCAACUUAUCACAAGUAAGUAAUCAAGAUUAAGGGAGACUUGUAAUCAUGUUUGACAUUCCUUUCCAGUAAGAAAAAGAGUUGUAUGAUUAUUUGUUAGUUUUAUAGGAAUGUAUAACCCAUGUUAGCAAUGUUUUAUUUUUGUUUAACAUUUGAAUGAUUCUUUGUAUGACAUUACAAUUUGUGUAAUUUAUUUUA